GACGUCGAUAUUCGACGUCAUAAACACUAUUAACUUUGGUGUUUAUGAUGUCGAUAAUCGACGUCAUAAGCACAAUCAACUUAGGUGUUUAUGACGUCGAUAUUCGACGUCAUAAACGCGAUCAACUUUGGUGUUUAUGACGUCGAUAUUCGACGUCAUAAACACGAUUAACUUUGGUGUUUAUUACGUCGAUAUUCGACGUCAUAAACACGAUUAACUUUGGUGUUUAUGACGUCGAUAUUCGACAUCAUAAACACGAUCAAGUUUGCUGCUUAUGACGUCGAUAUUCGACGUC
rnacentral:miRNA from 1 species